rnacentral:lncRNA from 1 species
CUCCUGCUCUGGAUGGGAUUACAGAUGUGCAUCACCACCCUUGGCCUCAUGAUUUGGUGCAGAUCAUUUAUAUAUUUCAUGGUGUUUAGUAAAUAAUGAGUGCUCAACCAAUGUUAAUUCCUUUCCCAGGGCAAAGGAAAAGCAAUGGAAAGAAAACUGGUGAAGGGCUUGUUGUGAGAAAAAGGAAAGAAGAAAAGAAUGGAAGGAGAGUACAUAAUGGAACUGGAGACAGAAUUUUCCACUGGAAACGGUGCUGUGAUUGGCCUGGCUCACGUUAG